GUUAUCUUUUCGAGAACAUCUUUCUUCUCUCUAUAGAAUGCAGUGAAACACGUUUGUUGGCUUUCACUCGCAACAGAGGUGAAAGACAGGAGAGUCAGAGGUGGUUUCUUAACCUUUUCCCAUAAGAGCAGUUUUUUUAAUGGCACAGUUCAGAAACUAUUAAAAAGUGUAAUAUUCAGAAAAUGUGCCAUAAAAAAAUGAGUGCUUAUUGGCAUUUCCAGGUAGGUGUGCAACGAUGACAUCAACGACUUCCUUUCGUCGAGAACUUCAUAUAGCUAUAAAAAGACUGGGCAGAUACUGAUCACAUCAGUGCUCACUCGAAACACAACGACUAGAAACUUUUAAGGAAGACAGAGAGAGAGACGACGCUGCAGUAUGAUGAAGUACACGAUUGUCUUUGUCCUGCUGCAUCUCUGCUACAGUUCUGGGUCAGACACAAACCAGAACAACGAGAACCUGAACAACGAGAUUAUACGAAGUCUGACCAACCUCACUGAACUCUGCAAAGACAACAAAGUCAAUUUCACAUCUCUAAACACUGUGGUUGUACCAGGAACGUACAAAAACCCUUCUGCCUGUGUGGGCGUCUACAGCAGGAAGCUGAGGGAUCUUCUGAACAACGUAACAGUCCAUGAUGACGCCAAAAUUAUUCUGAAAGGUCUAACGCUUCAGCUGCAGCAUCUGGAAUCGAAUCAAGAGAAUGACAAUUGCCAAAUGAAGCGGAACAUCAAAAAACCUUUUCCAGCAAAAAAUCUUUUUCUGUCUUACAAGAACUUCUUCAGGAGACUCAACAACAGAAGAUGAAGACUCAAGCCUGCUUUUUGUUUCAUGCAGGGCAGCUUCAACUGCUACUGACUGAGAGUUUUUGUUUAUUUCUUUGCGGCUAAAGAUUUCACAGAAAAUGAGAUGAUAGACCUGUGAAUGUAUCACAUAUGUAUUUUUACACAUUUCAAAUUCAAGAUUGGUCAAAAAUGACUUUUAUUUAUUUAUUUGAAUUAUUUAUUUCUAUUUAUUUUUUUAAUGUAUUUAUUUGUAUGCAAGUGUUGGUUUAAUCAGCCAUUUGGUACAGGUGCUUCAUAAAACCAACUGAUGAUGACAUGUGAUAUUCACAAUGUGAAAAACAGUAUUUCAGUCCAAAGGUGUUGUGCUGCUGCCUUCAAAUAAAUCAACUACUUUUAUAAUUUGUUCUCGUUAAUUCUUUUUUCACAAAAAAUAGACUGCCACUUUGUACCACUCAAAUGCAUACAUCACUGGUGAAGCAGAGCCACAGACCUGCCUGUGUAAGUCUUUUUUUCUAUGAAGCACUCAAGUCCCUGGUUUCUCCUUCAGCGUUUGGUCUUUAACAACAUUCCAGCUUUCUUUUUUUCUCAAUGACAACAUGCUGGAUGAAAAUUACGAGGCUAAUGCUAUAAUGUGUAGUCUGACCUCAUGGUGACAGUGUUGUCACAGUCCCACAAUGCUUAAGCACAGACACAGUGAUACAGAAGUUUGUCUCAUCAUCUCAUUCCACUAAUUGUGCAUCGUCGAUUCAUUUCCUCGCCUCCCUUCAUUGUGUCUUAGUCCCUCCGACCCGAGAUACGAGGAGAGAGCAAUAGCGAGGUAACAAGUAUUUAACGAAAUGAGACAUCCUUGCCU